UUCACUAUGACAACAUUACAACCCUGAAAUGAAUAGAAAUAAGAAAAUGAGGUUAUGGUAUUUUUUCAGUUCUAUCCAUAUUUGAUGAAUUAUAAACUAAUUAGACAGGUAAUAUGGGGAAGAUUUAAAACAGAAAGCAUAUAGAGAUAUCAACUAAGAGGAGAAUAUCCAGAAAGGGCUCAAACACUGUGUGCAACUAUCUGGCUAGCCGACCAGAUGUCAAUCAGUGUAGUUAGAGUAAGCAAUUUUUAGAUAUUUAAACUGCCUACAGGUUUCUACAUUUUAUUCAACAAAGUCAAACGGGAAGGUAGAAUAUCAGGCAAACAAAAAGGCGUGGAAUAGGUACUUACACGCUGGCAUUUUAAUUUUCUUCUUGGGACUUACAUUAUAUAUUAGCUCCUCAGUCAUUUUUAAAUUCCUUGAAUUUCUUUCUGGUACUGCCAUUUGAUUUAGCAACUGGAUAGAAACAGCUGAAAGCAUUUCUUGGUCUUAAAUUAGAGUUGGCCAUGACAAAUGUUCCUGCAAGAAUAUAGGAUGGAUCCCACACAUUUAUCACGGCAUCUGGGCCAUGUUUGUUUCUGUAGGACAGAGGAGAGGAGAGGAAGGAUUCUUAUGUUGGUAAACUGGAAGUCUAAGAAUUACACUUGCCAUCUGGCAUUGGUUUAAUGAAGACACUGGCCUGUCUUUCUCACUUAAUUACUAAAAUGAAGUGUCAUCAUAAAAAGACAAUGAUCUUGGGGAUCUAGACUUGACUAAAACCAGCAAAAAUGAUCACUUUCAUUUAAAUAUGGUUGUAUUUGUUUACUAUGAUAGUCAAUAAGCUUUUAGAGUUCAUAGAAAAAAAAUUCACCUUAUCCCAUAGAAACAUGAAGAUGUUAUAUAAACCCAAUAUAAUUAAAGCAAUUUAUAUAGGGCAUAAACUUCAUGGAAUUUAUAGUCAACUUGCAAGUAAAGAAGGCAACUAACAGAAAUAACUUCUCCUAG
rnacentral:lncRNA from 1 species